AUUGAACGCUAGCGGCAGGCCUAACACAUGCAAGUCGAGCGAGCGGCGGACGGGUGAGUAAUGUAUGGGGACUGCCCGAUAGAGGGGGAUAACUACUGGAAACGGUAGCUAAUACCGCAUACUAUCGGAUGACCCAUAUGGGAUGAGCUAGUAGGGGAGGUAAGGGGUCACCUAGGCGACGAUCCCUAGCUGGUCUGAGAGGAUGAUCAGCCACACGGGGACUGAGACAGGGCCAAGACGCCUACGGAGGCAGCAGUGGGGAAUAUUGCACAAUGGGCGCAAGCCGGAUGCAGCCAUGCCGCGGGUAUGAAGAAGGCCCUAGGGUUGUAAAGUACUUUCAGUUGGGAGGCGUUACCGACAGAAGAAGCACCGGCUAACUCCGUGCCAGCAGCCGCGGUAAUUC
rnacentral:rRNA from 1 species